rfam:Felis catus isolate Cinnamon breed Abyssinian chromosome E2, whole genome shotgun sequence.
GCCUGGCUGGCUCAUUCAGUAGAGCAUGAGACUCUUGAUCUCCGAGUUGUGGGUUCAAGCCCCACGUUGGGUA